AACCAUAGAAACCUGCGGAGUACCUGCGGAGGGAUCAUUACAGAGUUGCAAAACUCCCUAAACCAUUGUGAACGUUACCUAAACCGUUGCUUCGGCGGGCGGCCCGGGUCCUUCCCGGCGCCCAUCGGCCCUCGCGGGCGCCCGCCGGAGGUAAACCAAACUAUUGCAUUGUAUGGCCUCUCUGAGUCUUCUGUACUGGAUAAGUCAAAACUUUCAACAACGGAUCUCAGAUCGGAAGAG
rnacentral:misc_RNA from 1 species